rnacentral:rRNA from 1 species
AGAGUUUGAUCCUGGCUCAGGACGAACGCUGGCGGCGUGCCUGAUACAUGCAAGUCGAACGGUCUUUUCUAUGGAAGCUUGCUUCCACUGAGAAGAUAGUGGCGGACGGGUGAGUAACACGUGGGUAACCUGCCCAUAAGAGGGGGAUAACAUCCGGAAACGGGUGCUAAUACCGCAUAGUUUUCUUGAUCGCAUGAUCGGGAAAGGAAAGACGGCCUUUGUGCUGUCGCUUAUGGAUGGACCCGCGGCGUAUUAGUUAGUUGGUGAGGUAAUGGCUCACCAAGACGAUGAUACGUAGCCGACCUGAGAGGGUGAUCGGCCACAUUGGGACUGAGACACGGCCCAAACUCCUACGGGAGGCAGCAGUAGGGAAUCUUCCGCAAUGGACGAAAGUCAGACGGAGCAACGCCGCGUGAGUGAAGAAGGUUUUCGGAUCGUAAAACUCUGUUGUCAGAGAAGAACAAGUCGGAGAGUAACUGCUCCGGCCUUGACGGUAUCUGACCAGAAAGCCACGGCUAACUACGUGCCAGCAGCCGCGGUAAUACGUAGGUGGCAAGCGUUGUCCGGAUUUAUUGGGCGUAAAGCGAGCGCAGGCGGUUCCUUAAGUCUGAUGUGAAAGCCCACGGCUCAACCGUGGAAGGUCAUUGGAAACUGGGGAACUUGAGUGCAGAAGAGGAGAGUGGAAUUCCAUGUGUAGCGGUGAAAUGCGUAGAUAUAUGGAGGAACACCAGUGGCGAAGGCGACUCUCUGGUCUGUAACUGACGCUGANGCUCGAAAGCGUGGGGAGCAAACANGACUAGAUACCCUNNUAGUCCACGCCGUAAACGAUGAGUGCUAAGUGUUGGAGGGUUUCCNCCCNUCAGUGCUG